rnacentral:rRNA from 1 species
UACGAAGGGGGCUAGCGUUGUUCGGAAUUACUGGGCGUAAAGCGUGCGCAGGCGGUUUUGUAAGUCUGUUGUGAAAUCCCCGGGCUCAACCUGGGAAUGGCAAUGGAGACUGCAAGGCUAGAGUUUGGCAGAGGGGGGUAGAAUUCCACGUGUAGCAGUGAAAUGCGUAGAUAUGUGGAGGAACACCGAUGGCGAAGGCAGCCCCCUGGGUCAAAACUGACGCUCAUGCACGAAAGCGUGGGGAGCAAACAGG